rnacentral:lncRNA from 1 species
GGGAUUUUUUCUCAAGAUUAAGUAAACUGAAUUAUAUAAAAAAAAUCACAUUAAUCUUAGUCGAAUACCUAAAACUUGCGAAAGAUAUAAAAAGGCAGGAUGAGCAACUUAGCAAAAAGGCCGAAUUACGAUUUAUGUAAAAAAAAAAAAAAAACCGGACAAACUAAUAAAAACUAAAACGGCAGGACCCAAUAGACUAAAAAUAAAAAGACAGGACAGAGAAUACAACUUAGAAAAAAGAACUAACUGUUUCAUCAAAGUCCACCCUCCCAUCAAAAUAAAAUAGUAGAUCUCUUAAUCAAGAAACAACUGAGAGGAGACAGUUGAAUUAAAUAUUUAGAUGUGAAACCAAUUAAGAUUUUAAAGUUUAAAAUUUUACUAGUGCACAAAAUUAUAAAUUCAAUGAAUUUUACAUGCACAUACAUGUAUCAUUGAAAAGUUAGAAUUGCUAUGAGUAAUCAAGAACACAAUAAUGUACGUGAAUACUACAAUGGAGGUUAUAACAACCUUGACCGGCUACGUGAAUACUGAUCAGUCCAUUCAACUUAUAGUACGCGUGUUCUAUGUUCGCAGUUGUGAGGUCGAAGGUUUGAAUUGGCCAAUGAAAACGAUCGUUCCUUUACGAGUUAAUCUAAUAAAGUUUGUUUGACUGAUUACGUCGCACUACCUUUCGCUAAGCUUGG